ensembl:lncRNA LINC00639 long intergenic non-protein coding RNA 639
ACCCCUGAGACAGCAAGACCAACAACCCCUUCUCUUCCUCUUCAGCCUACUCAGUGUGAAGAUGAUAAAUCAGUGUUUACUGCAGAGAACACAGAAGCCAGCAAGCAGCAGGGAAGGGAGGCGAACCAAUGCAGCAGCCCACCGGGACCGAGGAGGACACACGCAGAGCAAGUCACAGGAAGCGCAGCUGAAAACAAAUGGACGCUUAUCCCAAAUGCACAGGACACUUACCAAGAACUGAUGGUCCGUCAAAGUAAAGCUCAACAGCUUUGGCUGGCAGGACAGUCAAACUUUUGGACGACAGAAAGUAACAGUGGGAAAUGGGACAACAUCUGCCAGCAACGCGAGAGGCCAAGACCAUGGCUGCUACAGGAGGGGUCAGCGUCACAGUACACGCAUGGCGGCGGUUGCACAUGCAUGCCUGGGGAAUGUGAGUGUUCAGACAUGCCAGGAGUCCAGCCUCACCAGGAAACAGGCACACGGGGACAGAGGCGCAAACACUGAAAACUCUCGCUGAAUCCACUCGGCUGAGCGGUGGUCACGAGAGCACGGCCCUGCGCUCCCCACAAAACUGCACCUGGGCCCCAGGGCGAGACAGGCGUGGAAGGUGCAGGGGUGUGUGUGGGGGCAGGGGCUCCUGGCUCAGAGCCGUAUCCAGGAACCCCCCUUCAGGCUGGAGCCCUGCCCUGAGCCCCCUGUGGAGAGACUGUGGAGAGCCCCCUGUGGAGAGGGUGACUGUGGGAGAGCAGCAUCAGGCCUAGUCUCGGCUGUGAAGUACCCCCCACCUCCACGCAGGAUCCCGGGGAUUCUGUCAAGGUGGGGGCCGCCUGCUCAGCCCAGGCUCCCUGAACGUGUGGCUAGCUGAGUUUGCGGAAGAAACCAGGAGAGUGCCAACACCAGGCUUGCAAGCAAGAGGCUCCCUGACUGCCUGAUCCUGGAGCGCACCCCAUCCUCCCUGUGUUCCCUGGGCCUCAGCUGUUCCCCAGUGACCUUGGAGACACCCUGCCCCACCCUGGCUCCACAGGAGCCCUGCCCAUCACCGCCUCAGCUCUGAGUCUCCCCUGGGGACACAACCUUCCUCCUGGUGCAGAGGCGCAGGAUGCUGCCCCUAAGGCCCAUCUUCCUCUGCAGCAUGUUUUGAUGUCAGCUCAUUCACAGGAAAGAAACAAUCACAUCUCAGUGCCCAGAAUGGGGACCAAUAGGAGAGGUCACUGGGAAUAAAGCCCACACGCACCCCAGGGUCCAUGGGCUCCCCAGAAAUGCAGGUGGCCUCCGCCAGAGCCAACAAGCCUAAGUUGCUGAUCAGCCCCUCCCUGCUUCCCUGUGUGGAAGAGGAAACAGAGGCCCAGACUAGUAGGGCUCUGCCGUGGUGGCCGGCUGCGUCCCCAGACCUCUGGUCCCAGGGCUGGCUGGGAGUGCCCCUCCCUGUGCUCACUUCCUGCUCUCCUGGGAAAUGGCUCAGGGAUGGGGCGUGUGGGGACAGAUGCUGGCAUAGCUCACAAAAUGCUUGCACAAGGGACACUCCAUGGCAGGUCCCUGCAGGAGAGCAAAGUCACAACAUUCAGAGAUUCCCUGCACUCUGAGGCCCGCAGAGCCUGGCCGACCAAGCGAGGCUGGGAGGAUGUUGCCUGCUGGUCAGGGCAGCCCUCUGAUCAGGGCGGCCGAGUGAGGCUGGGAGGAUGGUGCCCGCUGGUCAGGGCAGCUGAGCGUGGCUGGGAGGAUGGUGCCUGCUGGUCAGGGCAGCCCUCUGGUCAGGGUGGCCAAGCGAGGCAGGGAGGGAGGUACCCACCGGUCAGGGCAGCCGAACAAAGCUGGAAAGAUGGUGCCUGCUGGUCAGGGCGGCUGAAUGAGGCUGGGAGGAUGGUGUCUGCUGGUCAGGGCAGCUCAGGAGGUGCUGCCCAGGAGGUGCUGUCCAGGCAGAGCCUAGGGCUGGUGUGGGUGUGCCAUGCUCCUGAGAAGUUUCUGGGUUGUGGCUUUAAUGUUCUCCUGCAGUGAGAACGCUGACACUUGGCCAAAGGGUCCUCACCUCUCCCCUAGUACACUUCUGAGAUGCCAGGAAGGUUCUGAACAUCAGAUUGAUUCCUGGGACUCCCCUCCAGGGUGGCCUUACUGGAGUCAGGAGCCCCUGCCCCACUAGGAUGGCUCUGCAGUGGCCUGAGGACAGUGAGCACUGACUGGUCACUGGUGCAAAGUUGCCCACUGUGAUGGUUUUGACCGUUGAUGGGAACCAAGUGAAAGCCCUGCAGCUAUUUCUAGGCAUUUCAGAGGGUGCUUCCCUGCAUGUACUCUGCUGCAGACCAUCCUCCCUGGGCCAGGAGCCCGCUACACAGUAGGAGAUUCUUUUUCUUCUCUUUUGAGCACUUUUAUUCUCUUUUUCUUAAUCUCUGCUCCUCCUUUGAACUGAGAAAUGUGCAAAUCUUUUUUGUUAGUUUUGAGGUUGCUUCUUAUGCAUAUUUCAUCUGGAACUUUCCCCUUUGGGGGUGAUCUGUUCUAUCAGCCUGCCCGCUGCUAGAGAGGCCGAGGUGGUCCGGCCAGCCGUGCGCUGCUGCUGGUGUCUCUGUGGGCAUGACCUGGUGAGAUAUCAUUCUGCAUCUGGGGGUCCAUCCUAUCAGCCCUGUGUUCUAGAUUCCCCAGUGACUGACAUUUAGCCAGUCUCCUCUGUCACUCUCCAGUGACAUGUACACACUGUUGGCACGAACUGCAGAUGUCACGUUCUGUGGCUGAGAGCCUCAGUGUGCAUCUGUAGUAGGAGGAUGUCAGUGAGGACUGUCCUGUCGCUGCUGAGCUGGCACCGACUGUGCCUGGUCUACACUCCAGGUCUGCCAAACGACCCAGCAAGGUCCUUCACAACUCUUCUGAUCCAGGAUCACACAUCACUUGUGCUUUGAUGCCUGCUUCUGAACAAUUUUACCUCCUGAGAUGUCCAUUUUUGGGAGUGUGAGCCCUCCUCUCCUGGUGACAGCUGGCUGAGGCCGUCCAGCCUCAGGACACACAGGGAACGGCUGCAUAAGGAGAUCUGGGGCAGGGGGCCCACCAGGAUGUUCUGCCCUGUGGGGGGCAACACCGGCUGUGGUCUGCCGGCGGCAUCCAGGGACAGUCUGUCUAGGUGAGGCUGAGGCCGCCCCCACUCGCUCCCUCACCCCCAUGCUGACAGCAGUGAGCUGACCACAGACUGGGGGAGCCCCACAGGGAGACUGGCCUCCCCAGCACAUGCCCCGCAGUGCCAGACGCGGUCAUCACAGAGGCAGGUACACGACACCACGGACGUGCCACGUACCCGCCAUCGGGACCAAGGACCACUGAGAAACCAUGAAGGCCAUGCAGCGACUGUGGUGGCAGGACCGUCAGGAGGCCAUAGGUGCCACGGCUCCCCUCUGGUGGUUCACCUGCCCACCUGUAGCUGGGGUGGCCCCUCCAGUGCGCUCCCCAGAGCAGAACACCCCCCAGGCAACACGUCUGAUGAAGGCCAACAGCGUCAGUCCUCUGGUGUUUGGUGACAUCAAAGCUGUGCCGAAAGGCCUUCCCUCACUGCUAACACUUGAAGGGCUUCUGUCCGGUGUGGACCCUCUGAUGGCGAAUGUGGUCUGUCUUAUGCUUAAAGAUCCACCUCCAUUAACUGCACUCUUAGGGUUUCUUCCUCUGAAAAGGAAUGAACACGGGAACCCCCUCAAAGGCAUUUUUAAAUGAAGCGUGGAAGGCAUCAAAGAUGUGCUCUUCUUCAGGACUCAGGCUUCUCCAUCAUUCUCUGUUCCUUGGAAGCGUGAGGGCUAAGGAGCUGCUGACUUCUCUCUCUUGGCCCCACUUCAAGAAAGGCUUGCUUCCCACACACCUCUCCACGCUCCCAGUGCGGGACUGACACUCUGCACCGGGAGGCCAAGGGCCACCAUCGUCUUGCUGGGAGAAGGUGUGACGUUUCUUGGUCAUAGGAGGGAGUGUGAUCUGACACCAGAGGACUUAAUAUAACAUUGCAGUGUUAACAUCUUCACUGGCAGAUUCAUGGACUUUCCCCCUCCUGAAUGCAUUUCAACACCUUGAAAUGAACGAUGCCUCAUGUCUCUGCAGGGUGGACAUAGCUCUAACUCUCUGAAGCUGAUUAUAUGUCAAGUUCUGUGUGAAAUGAGAGACCAUGGGGAUUCAUUAUUGCUGGAGUUGACGGUAUUGCAGUUUUAUAACCAUCUAAUAAAUUAGCAUUUAAUACUGAGAGAUUUCAUCUUAAACUCAGAGGAUUGCUUUGUUUUAAAGAAGAUUUUUGCAAGGAGAAGCAAUGGAAACCAUUCAGAAAAUGUGGGAGAUAAAAAUCCUAUUCAAGAAAACGGAUCUUGGAUCUUUGCAUUCACUUGAUUUGUCAGAAUAUUAUUCUGUGCUAAAAAAUAGAAGGGAUUAAAUGUUAAAAAUCACUGAGGCACAAUUCUCUUGAGUUCACCAAUUUUGUACUCCUAUUUCCAGUUUCUUUUCACAUACGUCAUUCUCCAUCCUGAUUAAGCUUGUUCUUUCUGAGCUCAUUUCUGAUACCAAAAGAAGUCAUAAAGUUCUAUAAGAUUAAGAAUUCUCUUAGAAGUACAGAUUUGCAUGAACGUCAAAGAAAAAAAUAUCACAUUUUACUCCCAUAUGCUUUAAUGAUUAUUUUAUUAGGUCAGGCAUGGCUUAGGUUAGAACCUUUGUGGUUUUUUUUUUUUUUAAAUUCCAUUUAGUUAAAUGUUGACACAAUAUUUUUGGAAUUCUAUAUUUUGACUUUUCCGUUAACCUAGGUCUGUUUUGGAGUGGGGAAGAGGGUAGGUCAUCAUUUCUAUUUAAAAUGGGAAUUGGCUAGGCGUGGUGGCUCACGCCUGUAAUCCCAGCACUUUGGGAGGCUGAAGCGGGUGGAUCACGAGGUCAGGAGAUCGAGACCAUCGUGGCUAACACGGUGAAAACCCGUCUCUACUAAAAAUACGAAAAAAAUUAGCCGGGCAUGGUGGUGGGCGCCUGUAGUCCCAGCUACUCGGGAGGCUGAGGCGGGAGAAUGGCGUCAACCCGGGAAGCAGAGCUUGCAGUGAGCCAAGAUUGUGCCACUGCACUCCAGCCUGGGCGACAGAGCGAGACUCCAUCUUAAAAAUAAAAUAAAAUAAAAAAUAAAAGUGGCGAUAAUUAAAAAGUCAGGAAACAACAGGUGCUGGAGAGGAUGUGGAGAAAUAGGAACACUUUUACACUGUUGGUGGGACUGUAAACUAGUUCAACCAUUGUGGAAGACACUGUGGUGAUUCCUCAAGGGUCUAGAACUAGAAAUACCAUUUGAUCCAGCCAUCCCAUUACUGGGUAUAUACCCAAAGGAUUAUAAAUCAUGCUGCUAUACAGACACAUGCACACGUAUGUUUAUUGCGGCACUAUUCACAAUAGCAAAGACCUGAAACCAACCCAAAUGUCCAUCAAUGAUAGACUGGAUUAGGAAAAUGUGGUGCAUAUACACCAUGGAAUACUAUGCAGCCAUAAAAAAGGAUGAGUUCGUGUCCUUUGUAGGGACAUGGAUGAAGCUGGAAACCAUCAUUCUCAGCAAACUAUCGCAAGGACAAAAAACCAAACACCGCAUGUUCUCACUCAUAGGUGGGAAUUGAACAAUGAGAACACUUGGGCACAUGGUGGGGAAGGAACAUCCCACACCGGGGCCUGUUGUGGGGUAGGGGGGAGCGGGGAGGGAUAGCAUUAGGAGAUAUACCUAAUGUAAAUGACGAGUUACUGGGUACAGCACACCAACAUGGCACGUGUAUACAUAUCUAACAAACCUGCACGUUGUGCACAUGUAACCUAGAACUCAA